rnacentral:rRNA from 1 species
UACGGGGGGGGCAAGCGUUGUUCGGAAUUACUGGGCGUAAAGGGCUCGUAGGCGGCCAACUCAGUCGGAUGUGAAAUCCCCAGGCUUAACCUGGGAACUGCAUCCGAUACUGGAUGGCUUGAAUCCGGGAGAGGGAUGCAGAAUUCCAGGUGUAGCGGUGAAAUGCGUAGAUAUCUGGAGGAAUACCGGUGGCGAAGGCGGCAUCCUGGACCGGCAUUGACGCUGAAAAGCGAAAGCCAGGGGAGCAAACGGG